rnacentral:rRNA from 1 species
CAUGUAGGCGGUUUUGCAAGCUUGGGGUGAAAUUCCGGGGCUCAACUUCGGAACUGCAUUGAGAACUGCAAGACUUGAAUUACUGAGGGGUAGCUAGAAUUCCAAGUGUAGGGGUGAAAUCUGUAGAUAUUUGGAAGAAUACCAAUGGCGAAGGCAAGCUACUAGCAGAUAAUUGACGCUGAGGUGCGAAGGUGCGGGGAGCAAACAGGAUUAGAUACCCCAGUA